UCCUCUGCUUAUUUUUUCAAUUAUGAAUUUUUGUCAUACGGCAAAUAAUUUUUUAUUUAAAUUUUCCUGAGAGGGGGGAAGGGCUGAAGGGGGGAUAACAAUAAAUAUAAUACAAUUACAAUGUACAAGUGCAUUGAAGUCCAAGCUCAUUGUAUAGCUUUUGUUCUGUAUAGUCCAUAUGUUCUUUUAUUUCCUCAAGCACAAUUAUAUAGUUAGACCUACUUAUGGGGUCAACUUGUUCGGCAAAAGUAGCUAUUGGAGUAUUUGUUAGCUGUUUGAGUAGCCGUUAGCUGUGUGGUAGUAGCUGGUAAAAGUAGUUUAAAAUAUGUGUUUGGUAAAAUUAGUUGUAGAAAUUAUAUAAUAUAAAAAUGACAUUAAUAAUUAUAAUAUUAAUUUCAAUAACAUUAUCAAUUAUUUCAUGGUAUCAUGAACACAAUGCAUUACUUUUUUUGUAAUAGGAAAAUAUUUGUUAAAUUCAAUGUAAAAUGUUUAAAUUUUAGCUUAACCAAAUGUUUGUAUUAUGAGCACAUUGUUUAUGUUAUAAAUACCCAUUUAAACAACCUUGUUAACAAACAUGAGUUAUUGUAUAGAAAAAAUCUUAAUUUUGGCCAAUAUAAAAGUCCUAAACUAGAAUAGUAACAUUCAAUAUUUAAUUUUAGAAUUACUACCUUUUAGAUUUUGUUGAAACAAGUUCUAUAAACAGAGGGUUAGAUCUAGCUUCUACUCUAUUUAACAACAGAUCAUUCUCAUUGAACUUUUACAUGCAAAUUAUAUGAAUUUGCCAUAGAGGUGCAAGGAACAAAAGACCAAACGAAUUGUGUAUUCACCCGAAGUAAUAGCAAGGUGAAGAACAAUUUUAUAGCCACCAAGGGCACCAACCGAAUAAUUUAUGCAAUCACUCCAUCUAACAGAUGGAUGACACAUAAUUGCAGCGGUGUUGGUGGUUGAUGUGUCUUGUUGCUUGUUUGUGGUAUGUUUUCGGUGCUUUGUUUAUCUCUCAUCCUCCUCCUCAAAGCCACCAUUAGCAACCACUUAUGUCCUCCAAAUUGCUAAUGGCUGAAACGGCUGCCGCAACCAGCUGAUGACAUCGAGAAGUUUUGAAGCAUAGUCGACCACAUAAGCACCUUCAUUUCGUAUUGGUGAUUUGGAUAUAGAUUAUUGCAAUAAAAAUAUGGAUUUUCCUCCACAUUCAUUGAACUGUGCUAGAUUUGGAUAGAGGCAGAACAAGAACGAAGAUGAGAUCGACGAUUUUUGUACUUUUUUCAAAAAAAAAAAAAAAAAAAAUAGGAAUGCUACUUUUCUCUUGAACACUAUAAAUUGUAAU